ACAGUGAGUUCCGAUGGUUUUUGUCGUCAUCGUGGUGGUGUUGUUUCUCAGAGAAAGAAAGCACUAGAGAAGACAUCUGCACUUUUGUUUAUUUAUUUUUAUGCAAUGCUGAGGAUCCAACCCAGGGCCUCAAAUGUGCUAGGCGAGCACUGUACCGCUGAGCCACAACCCCAACCCUGACAUCUGCACUUUUGUGCUGCUGUGGCACGGGCAGCGACAUUUAUCCAAAAUCCACGAUCAGGUCAUCUGGGGUUUCAGUUGCACGCCCAGGUUUUGACCCAGGUGCAGUCUUUCUAUCCCGAGAAGGAGGUAUAGGACAGGAUCAUGUCCUGCCUCCCACCCACCUCACCCGGACUCCCCAGUCGGGGUGUCCCACAGAUCAGGUUAGGAGCCACCCCUGGAAAGCAGGCAGCCUUCUUGGCGCCUUCCUUAAGAUCAAGACUUCACGCCACCCUGCGCAGCCUUUGUUCCUGGACCCGAAAGGCAGCACAGAAGGAAGAAGGUGGUGGCGCCCAAUGCGGAGAAGGAAGGAGAGUACUACGUGAGCCAGCUCCGCGGUGCUGGGUGCUGGGUGCUGGGUGCCGGGUGCAUGCACACAUUUGUAGUCAAGGUUCUCAACUUUGUGAGGUAUUUUUGUCUAUUUUAUAAUCGAAAUAUUAUAAUUAAGGCUCUGAGAAGUCAGGUAACUCCGUCAACACAUACAGCCAAUAAGCAGCAGAACCUGGGGUUUUAUGUCCCCUCUGUGCCAUUCUACUAGAUGGCGUGGGAGUAGGGCUGCUUGGGGUGGGAGAGUGGCAGGAGGAAGCGUGAUUCACAGAUCCCUCACUGAGCCUUGGGCUCCUUUCUCUGAGGAGCAAGACUUGACCAAGCUCUGGGGGUAGACACUUGACCAAGCCCUGAGCAGAGCCCUUCAUCAAUGAUUCCUCCCUCUCUUUGGUGCCAGGGAUGGAGCCCAGGGCCUCACACAUGCUAGACAAGCUCUCCACCACUGAGUCACAUCCUCCGUCCUUUCUCCCGAGAUUUAGCAGCUGGCACUUAGGUGCUCGUCAUCCCAUGGUCCUCACUUCAGUUGAGAACUCAUGAGCCAUGGGGCAGCCGUUCCCUACCAUACGCUCAGAGGCAGCUGGUCUGCAAGGGGAGAAGAAAGAACCACCUUGCUGAGAGGACAGCCCAGGGGAGAGACUAGAACGACUGCGGCUGCCACAGCUGCACUUCUGAGCCCUUGAGAGGCAUGCCUGGCCGUGGGUUCAAAGGCCACCCUGAUAUCAAAACCCAGGGCUUGGAGAUGUCUCCUGCUCACAGUGUAGAUGCUCAAGGGAGC
rnacentral:lncRNA from 1 species